rnacentral:rRNA from 1 species
GAUGAACGCUGGCGGCGUGCCUAAUACAUGCAAGUCGAGCGAACAGACGAGGAGCUUGCUCCUCUGACGUUAGCGGCGGACGGGUGAGUAACACGUGGAUAACCUACCUAUAAGACUGGGAUAACUUCGGGAAACCGGAGCUAAUACCGGAUAAUAUAUUGAACCGCAUGGUUCAAUAGUGAAAGACGGUUUUGCUGUCACUUAUAGAUGGAUCCGCGCCGCAUUAGCUAGUUGGUAAGGUAACGGCUUACCAAGGCAACGAUGCGUAGCCGACCUGAGAGGGGGAUGGGCAAACCGGGACCGGAGAAAGGGUCAAGACUCCUAGGGGAGGCAGCAGUGGGGAAUCUUCGGAAAGGGGCGAAAGCCUGAGGGAGAAACGCGGGGGGGGUGAGGAAGGUCUCCGGUUCGUAAACUCUGUUAUUAGGGAAGAACAAAUGUGUAAGUAACUAUGCACGUCUUGACGGUACCUAAUCAGAAAGCCACGGCUAACUACGUG